GGAAGAGAUGAGCAGAACUGAGUUGUUUGGCUUUUUGGCAAAAACAGUACCCGUCUCUUGAUACACCGCUUG
rnacentral:misc_RNA from 1 species